AGUAUUUGUUCAGCUCGACCGUCCCAUACAAUAACAGACGGUGGAUAUUCCACCAAAAAGAUGAGCCUAUGAAUGGCCCUCCUCCUCGUUUUCUCUCUCUCUACUGUGAAAUGGGACUCGAUUAAUUUUUCUCUCUCUCAACUGUGAAACCCAGUUAAACCUCUCUUGAUCAUCUCCAAUGGAAUCUGAAGAGUGAACACCAAAGUGAGACCAAUUAUACCUUUCUCUCUCCAGAGUAAAACCCAAUUGAACCUCUCAUUCUCAUCUCCAAUGGAGUCUGAAGGUUAACACCGAAGUGAGACCCAGUUAAACACCUCUCUCUCUCUCUCUCGUCAGUGAAAGCCAACUAAACCUCUCUCUCACCCCGAAAGUUAAUAUCAAAGUGAGACCGAAUUAAGGAUAUCUCUUUUUCUCUCAUUAAUCUUGCUUGUGGUUCUACUGCCUUUGCACUUGCCAUAGCCGGUAUGUUCCAUGUUCUGUAAAUUUCCAUAGUCAAGAUCAGUACUUUUUGUAUACAGAGGAUAAUUCUAGUCAAGAGUAGUUUCUUUUUCAUUUCUAGCAUUUGAAUCUCUAAAAACCCCGUUAAUGGAAGGAUUAGUCAGCAGUCAUGCCACCCAUUCAUAUGUUUUCAAUUAUAUCCCAUUAAAACACUUACAAGUAAGUCUCACCUCACAAAACCAGGUGUUCAAUCACAAUUUUCGAAAUGGGUUCUCAAGAUUUUGCCACAAGAGUUGCAGAUACAGACCUGGGAAUUUGUUUAUGGCUUCCAAUCACAAAAUCAGGCUUGGCUCUUGUAGUAUUAAUCCUAGGAGUUCCAGACAUAAGGGUCAUGAGUUGUUAAUGGGUUUUCAAAACAAACUUAGUCAUGGGGUAGCUAGAAUUUGUCUAAGAAAUUGCAAAACUAGAGAAGAAGGUGUUUCAAUGGCUUCAAAAAGUGUUGACAAUACACAAGAACUGAACAUGGAUUGGGAGACUGAGCUUAUAGAUGAGAUUGAUCCCUUGGGAUAUCGGCCCCCACCAAAGAGGCGAGCCCGGCUCAAGUCUAAACCGAUUGAAGAUACAGAGGGUAUGGAUUGGUGCGUUAAAGCAAGAGAAAUCGCGUUUAAAACUAUAGAGGCCAGGGGCUUGGCAACUUCCAUCGAAGAUUUGGUGACCACAAAGAAGAAAAAGAAGAAGAAAACCAACAAAAAGGUGAAAUUUGGCAAGAAAUCCAAGGAUUCGAACAAGUUGAAUUUCGAAGAUUCGGAUGAUGAUCUCGAAGAAAAUGUUGGCGAUAGCGAUCUUUACUUGAAAGAUGACAGGGCCUAUUUGAGAGAAACCGUUAGCACGUUUGAAGAUGGCAUGUUUGAAGAAAGGAAAGAGAGAACCAGAGAGGCUUUCAUAGAGAGACUAUCUCAAUUCUCAGGUCCUUCUGAUAGGAAGAAAGAGGUUAAUUUGAACAAGGCCAUUGUAGAAUCACAAACUGCGGAAGAAGUACUGGAAGUGGUUAGUGAGAUGAUAUAUGCAGUGGGAAAAGGCUUGUCGCCUUCACCAUUAACCCCUCUAAACUUAGCUACAGCUCUUCAUCGGAUAGCAAAAAACAUGGAGAAAGUAUCAAUGAAUCAAAGUCACAGGCUUGCUUUUGCUCGCCAGAGAGACAUGUCGAUGCUAGUGGGCAUUGCCAUGGCUGCUUUACCAGAGUGCUCAGCACAGGGGAUAUCAAAUAUAGCUUGGGCUUUGUCUAAGAUUGGCGGGGAGCUUCUUUACAUAUCCGAAAUGGAUAGAAUUGCAGAAAUUGCAUUGACCAAGGUCGGGGAAUUCAAUGCUCAGAAUGUGGCUAAUGUUGCAGGUGCAUUUGCUUCGAUGAAGCAUUCAGCUCCAGAGCUUUUCACCAAACUGGCAAAGAGGGCAUCCUCGGUUGUUAGUACUUUUCAAGAACAAGAGCUCACUCAAGUGUUAUGGGCCUUUGCUUCUCUGUUUGAGUCUGCUGACCCUUUGCUAGACUCACUUGACAAUUUGAGCCCCAAAGGAAGCAACACAAAAGAAAAAGCUCAUGAGUCUGAAGUACAAUCACAAGAAGAUUUUGAUUGGGAAAUUGAAAAUAUUGAGGACCUGAACAUUGAUGAUGUUUACGAGUCUGAACUAGAAUUAGAAGGAGAAGGUUUUAAUAGGGAAAUUGAAGAUAUUGAGGACCUUGUUUUGGAUGUGAACUUAGAUACCCCAACACUGAAUUUCAGUAGAGAUCAGAUUGGAAACUUGGCCUGGUCAUAUGCUGUUCUUGGGCGGAUGGAUCGUCCAUUUUUUUCUCACAUAUGGAGGAAUUUAAAUCAUUUUGAAGAGCAAAGGACUUCAGAGCAAUAUAGAGAGGAUGUCAUGUUUGCUUCACAAGUUCACCAAGCUAACCAAUGCUUGAAACUUGAGUACCCCUUUCUCGGAUUAUCAUUAGGAGAAAGUUUUGAGGAUAAAAUCACUCGUGCUGGAAAAACCAAGAGGUUUAAUCAGCAAACAACUUCUUCCUUUCAAAAGGAAGUCGGCAAUCUUCUUGUGAGUACAGGCCUCGAGUGGGUCAGAGAAUAUACAAUAGAUGGUUACACUUUAGAUGCAGUAUUGGUCGAUAGAAAGCUUGCUCUUGAGAUCGAUGGACCAACCCACUUCUCAAGGAACUCAGGCUGCCAAUUUUCACUGUAGGCACCCCUCUUGGGAAUACGAUGCUGAAACGGCGAUAUUUUGCUGCUGCUGGAUGGAAUUUAGUUUCUGUCUCCCAUCAAGAGUGGGAGGAGGUUCGCGGCGGGUCCGAGCAGCUAGAAUAUCUGAGGACAAUUCUCAAGGACUACAUUGGCUCAUAAGUUUGUGCAUUAUACACAUCAGAAGUUUCUCUCUUGUUCUUUUGGAUAGCUGAGUCAGGUUAGGGUAGAACCUGAACCUUGGUAAAACAAUCACAGAGAUUCAUUUCAUCUUUGAGUACCAUUUUAUCUUUGAAUACCAUAAGCAAUGUGCAAUUAUGCUUCUACCAAUUCAGGGAGUGACAAAGAGCCCCAUGGGUUGUUCUUGCUUGGGUUUUCCUUUGCCUUAAUUUUGUAUGCAUUGUGCGAGAAUAUCUAGCGCAAUUUUCUAUUACGUCAGAUGUAAUAUGUAUGCUAAAUAUUGUUAUUGGUUUUUCCUUUGCCUUAAUUUGUAUUGCCUUGUGCACUGCACAAGAAUA